AGCCUAUUAGCUCAAAAAGGCAGAGCAAUGUGUUGUUGCACAUGGAUGUGGGUUCGAAUCCUACAUAGGCUG
rnacentral:tRNA from 1 species